GCCCUAAUAGUAUAACAAUUACGCUGGUCUUGUAAACCAAAAAUGAAAAAUUAAAUUUUCUUAGGGCA
rnacentral:tRNA from 1 species